rnacentral:rRNA from 1 species
GACGAACCGUGCGAACGUUGUUCGGAAUCACUGGGCUUAAAGGGCGCGUAGGCGGCUUGCCAAGUCAGGGGUGAAAUCCUGCAGCUUAACUGUAGAAGGGCCUUUGAUACUGGCGAGCUCGAGGGAGGUAGGGGUAUGUGGAACUUCCGGUGUAGCGGUGAAAUGCGUAGAUAUCUGGAGGAACACCGGUGGCGAAGGCGGCAUCCUGGACCGGCAUUGACGCUGAGGCGCGAAAGCCAGGGGAGCAAACGGG